rnacentral:rRNA from 1 species
CAGUAGCCGCGGGAAUACGUAGGUGGCAAGCGUUGUCCGGAAUUAUUGGGCGUAAAGGGCUCGCAGGCGGUUUCUUAAGUCUGAUGUGUAAGCCCCCGGCUCAACCGGGGGGGGUCAUUGGAAACUGGGAAACUUGAGUGCAGAAGAGGAGAGUGAAUUCCACGUGUAGCGGUGAAAUGCGUAGAGAUGUGGAGGAACACCAGUGGCGAAGGCGACUCUCUGGUCUGUAACUGACGCUGAGGAGCGAAAGCGUGGGGAGCGAACAGGAUUAGAUACCCCGGUAGUCCCUGUCUCUUAUACA